UACGUAGGGUGCGAGCGUUGUCCGGAAUUAUUGGGCGUAAAGAGCUCGUAGGCGGUCUGUCGCGUCGGUCGUGAAAACUUGGGGCUUAACCCUGAGCUUGCGGUCGAUACGGGCAUGACUGGAGUUCGGCAGGGGAGACUGGAAUUCCUGGUGUAGCGGUGAAAUGCGCAGAUAUCAGGAGGAACACCGGUGGCGAAGGCGGGUCUCUGGGCCGAUACUGACGCUGAGAAGCGAAAGCAUGGGGAGCGAACAGG
rnacentral:rRNA from 1 species